UACGGGGGGGGCAAGCGUUGUUCGGAAUUAUUGGGCGUAAAGGGCUCGUAGGCGGUUUGUCGCGUCGGGAGUGAAAUCCACUGGCUUAACUGGUGGCUUGCUUUCGAUACGGGCAGACUAGAGGUAUGCAGGGGAGAAUGGAAUUCCUGGUGUAGCGGUGAAAUGCGCAGAUAUCAGGAGGAACACCGGUGGCGAAGGCGGUUCUCUGGGCAUUACCUGACGCUGAGGAGCGAAAGUGUGGGGAGCGAACAGG
rnacentral:rRNA from 1 species